AAAAUACGGGAGGCAGCAGUGGGGAAUAUUGCGCAAUGGGGGGCAACCCUGACGCAGCCAUGCCGCGUGAAUGAAGAAGGCCUUCGGGUUGUAAAGGACUUUUGUUAGGGAAGAAAAAGGAGCGGUUAAUACCCGUUUCUGCUGACGGUACCUAAAGAAUAAGCACCGGCUAACUACGUGCCAGCAGCCGCGGUAAUUUUU
rnacentral:rRNA from 1 species